UACGGGGGGGGUAAGCGUUGUUCGGAAUUACUGGGCGUAAAGGGCUCGUAGGCGGCCAACUAAGUCGGACGUGAAAUCCCUCAGCUUAACUGGGGAACUGCGUCCGGUACUGGAUGGCUUGGAUUUGGGAGAGGGAUGCGGAAUUCCAGGUGUAGCGGUGAAAUGCGUAGAUAUCUGGAGGAACACCGGUGGCGAAGGCGGCAUCCUGGACCAAUAUUGACGCUGAGGAGCGAAAGCCAGGGGAGCAAGCGGG
rnacentral:rRNA from 1 species